ACAUACACAUGAGAUUUAAUCGCUCAAUAUAUACACGAUUCAUACAUUACACAUAUCAAAAUAUUGUUGCAGGGACUAGUUCGAAAUUAAACGUGGUCACUAGAGGGUAGCAAGAAAGAAUUAGGAACUAGAUUAAAUAAUCAUCUUCUUUAACCUCUGUUAUGUUUCCUUGCAUAGGGAGGUCGGCAAGCAGGGGAGGGGCUGGCGGGUGGUCGGCCGAGCAGAGGAGGUCCGCAGGGUGGCGUUCUAGGCCCUGGUCAUCAGCGGACGGCGCUCCAGCGGCGGCGGACGAUGGGGACAACACUACGGUCGACGAUAAUCUUCACGACAAGAAGGAGGCACGGGGAGAGGUGUGAGGUGGCUAGGAACCAGCUAAUGGAGGUCGAGGCUCGUGCUUUAUAGCAAGAAUAUAGCCGA
rnacentral:lncRNA from 7 species